rnacentral:rRNA from 1 species
UACGUAGGGUGCAAGCGUUGUCCGGAAUUAUUGGGCGUAAAGAGCUCGUAGGCGGUUUGUCGCGUCUGCUGUGAAAACCCGAGGCUCAACCUCGGGCCUGCAGUGGGUACGGGCAGACUAGAGUGGCGGUAGGGGAGAUUGGAAUUCCUGGUGUAGCGGUGGAAUGCGCAGAUAUCAGGAGGAACACCGAUGGCGAAGGCAGAUCUCUGGGCCGUAACUGACGCUGAGGAGCGAAAGCGUGGGGAGCAAACAGG